rnacentral:lncRNA from 1 species
AAUUUUUAAAAUUUUUAUUUUAUAAUUAGAAUAUCACUUUAGUUCAGUUUUGUCAAAAUAAGCUACAAACAUCAAUGCAAUUUUUAUUUGUCUAUUAGUAAACAGACAGAUGUAUUGAUUUUUUUAAGAUCCUAUAGUUUAUGGGAUAUUGAUAAAUGGUGAAGAUUAUGGUCAAGGGGCAAAUUUUGUUGUUUAUACCCCUUGUAGGGCACUAUUAAGACAAAGUCAUUUUAAAAGUCUUCCUUUUUGAUACAUUGAGUAUAUAAAAUUUGUAUUUUUCUACAUUUCUUCUUUUCUUUUACUGUCAUUUUUUGAUAUUGGAGAUAUUAGUGUAUACAAGUAUAUGGCCGUGA